rnacentral:rRNA from 1 species
UACGAAGGGGGCUAGCGUUGCUCGGAAUCACUGGGCGUAAAGCGCACGUAGGCGGCUUUCUAAGUCAGGGGUGAAAUCCUGGAGCUCAACUCCAGAACUGCCUUUGAUACUAGAGAGCUCGAGUCCGGGAGAGGUGAGUGGAACUCCGAGUGUAGAGGUGAAAUUCGUAGAUAUUCGGAAGAACACCAGUGGCGAAGGCGGCUCACUGGCCCGGUACUGACGCUGAGGUGCGAAAGCGUGGGGAGCAAACAGG